rnacentral:lncRNA from 1 species
UGUAAAUUGUUCUUGAAUAGUUCAAAACAGUUGGUUCUUCUACUUGAAUGCAUGAUUCCGUAUUAGUAACAAAGCUUUACAAUCGUUGUAAAAGUGUGACUAAUAAGAAGUAGAAGAUAUAUGAGAGAAGAGAAAGUACUUCACAUUCGAAUCGUGAAUCAAAUGUAGAUCUCUGCGAAAGCAGAUGGUACUUACUUCCUCAUAUGAACUACCAAAGAAAUUGGAAAAACAUAGAUUGUCUUUGUAUUCCAAUUUUAAGGAACUAAAUUCCGUCACUAUGUGAAAUGGAUAAAUGUUUUGUUUGACAAAACAAUGUUCUUUAUUAAUCAAUGAUUAGAUUAUGGUAAUCUAAUUAAUUGUCUCUAUAGUAGAGAUAAUAUGGUAGUGUUAACUGUUUAGAAAAUAAUGAUGCUUAAAACCCAAAAGGUUGCAAGAUAGUGACUAAUCCCAACUAAAGUUGUGAUACCUCUAAAACAUAAAUUACGAGUUGGUAAUAAAUGGACGCUUUGGAUCAUUAGGUCCGGAUCCAAUACCUUCUUGUUAAAAUUGUAUAGAGGCGAAAUGUUCGAAUCUUUAUUCUUUUGGAAAGAAGAAAGAAUCACAAAGUUGUUGAGGUUAAUUCACUUAGAUGUUAGUGGCACUUGUCCACAAACAUAUUACUACUCAUGUUGGAUAACAUUCACCGAAGAUCACUCUCGGUUGGACUAUAGUUUAUUUUGAAUAAACACAAGUCCGAAUACUUUGCAAAAUGUUUCAAAGAAUUCAAGUAAUGUAAGUUGAUGAGUAAGACAUCUAAAGUAUUUACCUCCUUAGAUUUGAUCCAAGGAAAGGUAACACUUUAGAUGAGUUUCCUUGAAAGAUAUCAAGGAAAAUAGCAUCAUAAGAUAAUAUAUUUCUCCAUUAGGAGAAGAACGAACUCGAAUAAGAUUUAGUUCGUUAGAUGUUAUCUAUUACCCAUAUAUAGGAUAUAUACUUCUAAAACAAUAUGAUUGUCAAUGAGAAGAUCUUCCAGUAUUUUCAUGACUCCAUAAGAUGUAGUUGGAAAGAAAGACAAAUCUUAAGCAUGUUAAAGAUUUGGGGUUGUGUG